AGACACCUAAAUUAGAUUGCGUAUAAACAGGAUAACCAACUUACAGCAACAUUGAGCAAGCCAAUGGCGGGGUAUUCUGUGAAGAUCCUUUUCAUUCUAUUCCUUUGUUUCAUAGUUAAUGCGGGUUCGUAGGUAUUAACCAUGGUUUCCAGGAUCUGCAUGAUGAUAAGUGAAAGAAAGUUAUGUCAGAAAUAUAAGAGGAUCACUGAACGCAUCCUCUUCUGUCCUCAGUUAAACAAUCGAUGCAAUGAUUAAAAUACAUUGACACGCAACGAAGGAUUUAUUAAUUAUGAUCGAACAAGUACCACCCAUAUCGGAUAUACUAAUGUAGAACAUACACUCCUCAGGAUCCUGGUUAUUAUUAAAAAAAAAACAAGGAUUGCAUACCGUCUCAACAGACAGUUGACGGCACGGCUCGCUCCAAGUUGUUAUAAACUGCUGCAACUUAUCGAAGCUGAUAGUAUGCUUAGGUGAGCCUUACUGUUUUUGCUUCUUCGUGGGCUGUUUAGACAAAGAGGAGCCCCGGGACCAAUUGGUCUUAUCACGCUUUCUGUCGCAGACGCGCCCUAGUGGCAUGAGACUCUCCCGCUCGUGGUCAGAA
rnacentral:lncRNA from 1 species